AGGACAAGAACCCAAUGUACUCGGGCUUUGUUUACUUCUCUUAAAAAUCACUUAAAAGGAAGCCUGACUUAUGAUCACACCCAAACACUGCCUUCUUUUUCUUCUCUCUCUCUCUCGCUCUCCAAAAACUGGAAACCCCCGCAAUCCCCUGGCUUCCACUCCUUUAAACAAGAUCUAAAGAGGUACUGUUUUCAAUGGAUGAAUGCAAGAAUGAGAGUGUUUCCGCAAGGAAUGUUGCGGAAUUAUCGACUGUGAGUGUUAGUGAACAUGUAGAUAGUGGUGAUAGUGAGAAAACCACUACAGCAACGACUCCAGUUAUUGUUGGCUCUGUUGCCAGUGAGGAGGGUCAGGGUAAGAUUGAGUGUUCUUCUGGUGAGGAUGUGAUGGCAAAGGAAGUAGGUUCUUGUAAUGGAGAUGAAGUAAUGGUUGAGAGGUCUUCCAAUGAGGGUGUUGAUGGUGGGUGCACACGUGACUUGUGUGAUGGAGGUGGUGGGGAAGCAAGGAAGGAAACUGCUGGUGGUUGUGGUUGUGCCGAGGGAGAUGCAACACAUUCAGAUGGUGGUGGUGUAGCUGGUCAAUCAGGGACACAUGAGGAUAGGGAUUCUGGUGUUGAUCCAUCAAACUCAGGAUUUGAGUCUUCUCGGUCUGCAGAAUCUGAAGAAGGGAAACCAGUUGAGAGUGGGGAGAAGGGGAGGGAAGUCAGUGGAAACAGCAGCAAGGCUUCACCUGAAGUUCAGGAGAUGAGGGUUGAGAGUGAGGUUGGACAGUCUUCUAAGGUAGCAGAAUCUGAAGGAGAAGGUAAAGCAGUAGGGGGUGGAGAGGAAGAUAUGGAGGUCGGUGGAAAUGGUGAUAAGACUUCAUCUGAAGUUGGGGUUGCAGAUGCUGACGCUCAUGUUCAGAGUGUGGAAAAUGCAAGUGGUAUUGAUGGGGAAACCCAAGUUGUGGUGGAAGAAGUAGCAUAUGUUACACCGGAGGAGAGUUUGAAAAGGGAAUUGGCGGAGGAAGGUGUUGAGGGAGAAAAGAUUGAUGCAAGCCAGAAGGUGACUUCUCAAGAAAUUGGGCUGUCAGAGAAUGAAUCUCAGGAUCAAAGAGCUGAAAAUGGUGCGGGAUGUCCUUCUGUGGUAGUAGGUGCUUCAGUUGGUGAAACCCAAGUUGUAGAGAAAUCUGAAUUGGUUGAGGAGGCUGCUGGGAAGGCUGAGGAUAAAGAUGACAAUGUGAACGAUGCAUUUCAAGAUUCAGAGACAUUAGAGGUGGGUGUUUUGCAUGACAGAGUGUGGAAUUCUGGAACUGAAACUGCAGUGUUGGCUUCUCCAUCAACCGUGGAAGAUACAAGUGUAGAGACCGAAGUUAUUGAGGAAGUUGCUGUGCUGCCAAAUAAUGAAGGUUUAGAUCCAAAGGUUGAAGCAAGAAGGAGUGACGCUCUGGAAAGAGCACUUGCUGGUAAUUCGGAGGGGCUUAUAUCAACUUCUGAAGGAUCAUCAGUUUUACCAGAAAAAGACGGCCUUGCCAACCCAGACUCCAAAUUGUUGGAUAAACAAACUCCAGUUGCUGAUGAAGGGAGGGUUGCAUCAACUGACUACGAAAACAUCACAUGUCCCAACACCGAAGGUAUGGACACUGAUGGUUUUAGUGAAAGUUUUUAUUUUUCAGUGGAAGAACUGCAGGGAAAAUCCGAGACAGCUAAUGGGAGCACUGAAAAUGGCUAUAAUGUAUGUGCAGAUUCAGAGUCUUCGUAUCAGCCAGCUCAAGUAGUUGUAGGAGCUGGAGUUGUAGCUAAGGAAAACAUUGUGCUUCUUAAUCCUGUAAAGAGUAAAAAAGUGAUAACUGAAUGCUUAGUUGAUGAUGCUGAAGAAGCUGGUCUACAUAAAGAGCAAGUGAUAACAGUUUCGCAACAGCAGAAAGCUGAUAUUGUUAGUGGAAGCACUGAAACAAGGACUAAGACAGAAUGUGGAGGGAUGGAAAUUGAUGUCGAGGUGGCUUUAACAAACAAUGUUGAGGUUUUGAUCUCACACGCUGAUGUUCCAGUUCCUUCUUUAAAAGAUCAACAGUUGAAGGCUGAGGAAGGCUCAGGGAAAAGUGCAUCUUGUCAUCCUGCUCAUGCUCAUGCUUAUUCAUUCGAAGAGCAACUGAUGGAAGGUCAAGAACAGGCUACUUAUGUCGAAGAGCUUGAAGGGGAGAAGAAAAGGGUAGAAGAACAGAGCUCACAGGUUGAAACAGUAUCUGGGAUCACAGAGUUUGAUACUCGGCUCAUGGAUGGAGGAGAAAAUGUCAUAGCAAGCAAUGAGGAAGCUUUGAAUCCCAAAACUGAACUCAAGGAGCUUGCUGAAAACGAUCAGCAAUUAAAGUUUGCAGAAGGUUUGGAUGAGGGUGCAUCUCAUGGUCAUUUUGAGAUGGAUUCGCAUGUGGGGCAAGAAAUGACAAUUGAAGAAAAUUUUCUUGAUUCUGAACAGGUUGAUUUACUAGAAGGGAAAGAAAUGGAAGUUGAAGAACAGGAUACUGACAAUGAACAACUGAACAGCAUCGAGGAGAAAUCUGCUAAAUUGACAGCUUCAAAGCCUGGAAGCUCAGAGAAAGCAGAUCAGGCUUGUUAUCUACUGCCACCAGAUAAUGAAGGCGAGCUUUCUGUAUCAGAUUUGGUCUGGGGUAAAGUAAGGAGCCAUCCUUGGUGGCCUGGCCAGAUAUUUGAUCCAUCGGAUGCCUCCGAGAAAGCAAUGAAGUAUAAUAAGAAGGACUGCUAUUUAGUAGCAUACUUUGGAGACCGAACAUUUGCAUGGAAUGAAGCAUCUUUGCUAAAACCUUUCAGGUCACACUUUUCUCAGGUUGAGAAGCAGAGCAAUUCUGAAGUAUUCCAGAAUGCUGUUGAUUGUGCUUUGGAAGAAGUUUCAAGACGAGUGGAGCUGGGUCUGGCUUGCUCAUGUGUGCCGAAGGAUGCUUAUGAUGAAAUCAAAUUUCAGGUUCUUGAAAGUGCUGGAAUCCGGCCAGAGGCAAGCACACGAGAUGGUGUUGACAAAGAUACAAGUGCUGAUUUGUUUCAACCAGAUAAAUUAGUGGGUUAUAUGAAAGCAUUAGCGCAGACUCCAGGCGACGGGGCUAAUCGAUUGGAGCUUGUGAUUGCAAAGUCUCAGUUGCUGGCCUUCUAUCGUUUGAAAGGUUACUCUGAACUGCCUGAAUAUCAUUUUUAUGGAGGGUUGUUGGAAAAGUCAGAUACUUUAAGAUUUGAGGAUGAAGUGAUUGAUCAUGCAUCGGCUGUUUAUGAGGAUCAUGGGCAAAUUUCAUCUGGUGAGGAGAUUUUGCAAACACAAAGAGGCUCUUCUCGCAAAUGCAAACAUAAUUUGAAGGAUUGUAUCAGUCCUAGGAAAAAAGAGAGAAACUUGUCUGAUUUGAUGGGUGACUCGUGGGAUUCUUUGGAUGAUGAAAUUGGGUCUGAUGGCAAAGCAAACAAUAAAUUAGUUUCUCCAUCUUCUGGCAAGAAAAGAAAAGGCACCGAUACCUUUGCUGAUGAUGCAUCUAUGACAGAAGGGAGGAAGACCAUAUCUUUUGCAAAAGUGUCUUCGACCGCAACUCUUCCCAAGCCUUCCUUCAAGAUUGGCGAAUGCAUUCAAAGAGUUGCUAGCAAAAUGACCGGGUCUCCUUCUAUCCUGAAGUGUAAUAGCCAGAAGGUAGAAGGAAGCAUUGAUGGCCUCACUGGGGAUGGAUCUGAUGAUACUUCAUCAGUGCAUCCUGAGGAUGCUGAGAUAAAGAAAAUGAUUGUUCCAACAGAAUACUCGUCACUUGAUGAAUUGCUAUCACAGCUUCACUUGACAGCACAAGAUCCCUCGAAAGGCUAUGGUUUCUUGAACAUCAUCAUUAGCUUCUUCUCUGAUUUCAGGAAAUCGGUGGUUAUGGACCAGCAUGAUGAAGUAGGUGGUAAGAGGAAAACUUCCCAUUCUUCUGUUGGUUUUCCAGAAACAUUUGAAUUCGAGGAUAUGAAUGACACAUAUUGGACAGACCGUGUUAUUCAAAACGGUUCUGAAGAGCAACCACCACGUAAAAGUAGGAAAAGGGAUAAUCUUUUUGUGCCUGUUGUUCUGGAUAAACCCAGCGGUAGGUCAAACUCUAGGAAACGCUAUUCUGAUAGCAGUUAUGAUGUAUCAUCCCAGAAACCAGUUGGUUAUGUGGAUGAGAAGGCCCCGGCAGAGCUUGUAAUGCAUUUCCCUGUGGUGGAUUCAGUUCCUUCAGAAAUAAGCCUAAAUAAGAUGUUCAGGCGCUUCGGACCACUAAAAGAAUCGGAGACAGAAGUUGAUAGGGAUACUAAUCGUGCCAGAGUAAUUUUCAAGAGAUGUUCAGAUGCAGAAGCUGCUUAUGGGAGUGCUCCAAAGUUCAACAUUUUUGGUCCAAUUCUUGUGAAUUACCAGCUCAACUACACUAUAUCUGUUCCAUUUAAAACUCCACCACCAAUCCUAGAUGAGGAAGAUGUAACUCUUUUUCUUCAAUAUUGAAGUCAAUCUGGUUUGAUACCCAGAGCGGAGGGUGCCUGGAAACCAAGAACUUUUGCGGGGGGUGGGCGGGGGCGGUAGACAUCUUGAUUUCUGGGAUUGGCAAGUCUCGGGAGUCUGGACCUCUUGGAUGGAAUGAUGCAUUUGUGCUUGAGCGUGCAUGCCUUUCAUUGGUUGAUAUGCUCUCUUAAUGAAGUUGUUAAUACUGAUCUCCUGCCAAGAAUUUGAAAUGUCCUGAAAGUUCUCCUUUUCAAAAAAUUAGAAACGUUUUGAGGAAACGAGAUGGCUGGUGUUGAAAAUACAUGCAGACACAACAUAGCUGCUGGUUAUGUCUGGCCUAUACUUCACCAAUGAGUUCGCUGGAAAAGUUACGAGGCUAACAAGUUAUCCGUGCUGCUGAUGUUUGGCAUAUAUUCAGCAGACGGGUUUGCUGAUGAAGAUAACCAGACUAAUAAUAAAGUAUUUUGCUGUAUCAUCCACUUGAGGUUCACUUGACUGUCCUGAGCACGGUGGCAGAAGGUUGCCUUGUUAAAAAAUCUCAAUAGCUUCAGCUUAUGCAUUUUAAAGCAGCUUGUUAGCGGAUCGUAGGUAACUUUCUUGAUGAGUAGGAGAUUCGAUCAUGGAAUCAUGCUGCAUGUUCUUCGUUUAUGGUUGGUCGGUCCGCAUGUCAGGUAGAACGACUUUCCUUCAAUAUGAAACUGCGAGAAAAGGAGAACACUUUUGUUCAUAAGCUGAACGCGCUGGCUGUUUAGAAUGCUAUAUUUGGCAGGUAGCCGAGUCCAUCGCCUUUUUCCAGUGCUCGCCUGAAAGAAGCGUUGGCCUUGUUCUUUGUUUGAUCAUUCGGCAUGUGUAGCACAAAGUUCAGUAAAAGAUCAAUUCUCUCUCUCUCUCU